rnacentral:rRNA from 1 species
UACAGAGGGCGCGAGCGUUGUCCGGAAUCACUGGGUGUAAAGCGCGUGUAGGCGGCCUGCCAAGUCUGCUGUGAAAGCGCCUGGCUUAACCGGGCGAGGUCGGUGGAAACUGGCGGGCUGGAGGACGGUAGAGGGGGGUGGAAUUCCCGGUGUAGUGGUGAAAUGCGUAGAGAUCGGGAGGAACACCAGUGGCGAAGGCGGCCCCCUGGGCCGUUCCUGACGCUGAGACGCGAAGGCGCGGGGAGCGAACGGG